GUAGGUGAACCUGCGGAAGGAUCAUUACCGAGAUGAGGGCCUUUCGGGGCCCGACCCUCCCACCCUUUGCGUAUGUACCUCUGUUGCUUCGGCGGACUCCGGGGUCGCGAUGCGGGCCCUACCCCGUCCCGGCCUGGGUCCGCCAGGAGGCCCUUCUGAUUCUGAAAUCUCAAAGUCGUCUGAGCGAGCGAGCGAAUACACUAAAACUUUCAACAACGGAUCUCUUGGUUCUG
rnacentral:misc_RNA from 1 species